ensembl:lncRNA
CUGAGUGUGUGUGUGUGUCUGUGUGUGUGUGUCUGUCUGUCUGUCUGUCUGUCUGUCUGUCUGUGAGUGAGUGUGUGUGUGUGUCUGUGAGUGUGUGUGUCUGUCUGUCUGUCUGUCUGUGAGUGUGUCUGUCUGUCUGUGAGUGAGUGUGUGUGUGUAUGUGUGUCUGUGAGUGUGUAUGUGUGUCUGAGUGUGUGUGUGUGUCUGUGUGUGUGUGUCUGUCUGUCUGUCUGUCUGUGAGUGUGUCUGUGUGUCUGUGUGUGUGUGUGUGUGUCUGUGUGUGUGUGAGUGUGUGUGUGUGUGUCUGUGAGUGUGUGUGUCUGUCUGUCUGUCUGUCUGUGAGUGUGUCUGUCUGUCUGUGAGUGAGUGUGUGUGUGUGUGUGUGUCUGUGUGUGUGUGUGUGUGUCUGAGUGUGUGUGUGUCUGUGUGUGUGUGUCUGUCUGUCUGUCUGUCUGUCUGUGAGUGAGUGUGUGUCUGUGUCUGUCUGUGAGUGUGUGUGUCUGUGUCGGUCUGUGAGUGUGUGUGUGUCUGUGAGUGUGUGUGUGUCUGUGUCUGUCUGUGAGUGUGUGUGUCUGUGUGUCUGUGAGUGUGUGAAUGUGUGUCUGUGAGUGUGUGUCUGUGAGUGUGUGUGUGGGUCUGUGAAUGUGUUUGAAUGUGUGUGUGUGUGUGUGUGUGUCUGUGUCUGUCUGUGAGUGUGUGUGUCUGUGUCGGUCUGUGAGUGUGUGUGUGUCUGUGAGUGUGUGUGUGUGUGUGUGGGUCUGUGAAUGUGUUUGAAUGUGUGUGUGUGUGUGUGAGUGAGUGAAUGUGUGUGUGUGCUGUGUUCCGUUCCGUUGUUUUGACUGUGCUGGUGUUUGUUCAGCUGCAGGACCCGCUGAGGUCGGCUCAUCGCUCCAGCCGUCAGUGUCACAGAUGAUGAGCGAUGAUGCUCUGACUGACGACCCACAGGAUGAUGCAUCUGAUCUGUUUCUUCCUCUGCCUUCUGACGUCACCACCAAUGAGACGGCAGACUGUUCGACGGCUCUCUGCGUCCCGCUGGAAGCAGAACCGUGUGGAGCACAUGAUGCUGAAGCCUCUGACUGGCUGGAGUCCACAGAUCAGUCCCUAACAUCCCUGCAGCAUCUCAGAGUCGACACGCUGCUUCAGUCUCAGCCAGACAUGCAGAUAUCUAUGGAUGCGCUCUCUUUUACCCACGAGUCCCUCUGUGACACCGAUGCUGUGGCUCCACCCACUGCCGCAGACGUGAGCCCUCUCAAGCCCGCUCUACAGGAAGAUGCACCACAGGAAGUGAGCUCGGAGCCGCCGCCGCACCUGACUGAGCUCUUAGAGCGAGCACAGGGCGAAUCACAGAGCCGUUCGGACGACAGCCAAUCAGAGCGGCCAGAGGCGGCGUUCCCUCAUGCUGUGAUGCUGCUGGAGUUUCAGAGCUCGUCUGCUCCGCAGCAGCGCCGGCAGGAUCGUCUCGCUCAGAGGUCAGCGCUCAGAGCCGCCCAGAUCAAAGCCAGAAAAACCACAGCGGUCCAGAAAGUGUCCAGAGCCACAGGACGCACAGAUCCUAAACCACACACAGCUGACAGACUGAAGAGCGUGGCUGAGGUGCGGAUCUGCUCUGAUGAACACAGACGCUGUGAGGAGGCUACGAUGUACCGCCGCACACACAGAUUGUACAGUCAGUUAGAGGAAGUUAAACAGAAGAAGGAGCUGCGGAGCCGUCAGGAAUCGUACGCUAAGAACCGGGAGAAGGCCAGAGACUUCCAGAGGAAGACGCUGGAGAAACUGAGGGCCAAACUGAACCGCUGACGUGCUUGGAGAUUCAUCGCUGCUGUUUGUUAUUGGUCUCAAUCAGAUUUUAAAGCAAUUUUAUUUGUGUCUGUAUGUUGUGUAUUUUAAGUAAAAUGCUGUUUUAAUUUAAUUGAGUCAUCAGUGUGAUUGUGAAUAAUAAUAAUACACUACUUUCUUUUCCUGUUGGUCUCUGGAAUUACCGGUCUGCAGUAAACAAAGCAGAUGUCAUUCAAGACUAAGCCUCAUGGCCCUGACAGAGACCUGGAUCAACCCAGAGGACACUGCUGCUGCUUGUAGUGCUCUCGGUGUUCGAUGGCCUCACACGGGCCGCCACUAAAUGUAGUGGUUUUAAAUCUCUUUGGGCUUAAAUAUUAAUCGGGGGUCGAGCACCACAUUUUUUUGAAAAACCUACUUUUCCGAGCUCGUCCUAGACGGUUUGUCUGAUUUUCACACAAUGUGGCUCGGAUCAUCUUCAGACCAUGCUGGCACAAAGUUGAGGACUUCAAGUUGAUUAGUCAAACCGUUUUCGAAUAAUGUGCGAAAGAAUUCAACGAAGAACAUGAGGCUAUAUCUCCGCAACGCUUUAACGUAUUGAGGCCAAACUUGGUGUGUGUUAUAAUAACCAUGACCUGAGGCCACCUAGGGGUCAGGAGAUAUAAAAACAUUAUAUUUUUGCUUAACUUCAGAAAAAAUUGCAAAACUGGUCUCUAGAUUCGAUGGCCAUGUCGGACAUUUUGAAUUUUGACCUAAAAUGCUAUAUUUUACGAACGCAUUAGCCUAUCGUUAUGAAACUCUGAAUGUGUUCGGCACCAUGCCCUGAUGGUACUCUCCUCCACAUCAUCUUUCAACGUAACCUACGCUCACUCUUCAUCUUCNNNNNNNNNNCACAACUCUCCACACUACAAUCUGUCAAGCACAUCUUACCAGCAAACAUACACGCUUUCACAUCCUUCUCUCCACUCUCCGAGACAAACUCAUCCUUUCUAAUCAUCCUACUGCUUGUCUAGUUCAAGCCAGUUCUUCUUCAGUUGUACCUGCACUCAUUAACACAUCCCUUCACACUGGUGUCUUUCCCUCAGCAUUAAAACGGGCUCGAUAACCUCACUACUUCAGUGGCCCAAAAGAUCACAAGUUCAGAGAAUUUAAUCAAACAAAUGAGACAAAAAUAUAUACUCCUAGUCCAUCUGUUCAGAGGUGUUUUCAAUCCGUGAGAUGGCUAUCAGCCGUCAGUGUCUGCCCUGUUU